GGGCUAUAGCUUGGUGGUGGAGCAUCUGUCUUGAACUCAGAAGGUGCCAGGUUCAAUGCCUGACAUUUCCA